UAGAUAAAGAACCAAUAUUUUUGGUGACUCAUAAUAACUUUACGGAUCACAUUAUGUGACAUAUCAUUCAAGUUUCUGACCUAUCAGCUUUAGACGGUAGGGUAUUGGCCUACCGUGGCUAUGACGGGUAACGGGGAAUUAGGGUUCGAUUCCGGAGAGGGAGCCUGAGAAACGGCUACCACAUCUAAGGAAGGCAGCAGGCGCGCAAAUUACCCAAUCCUAAUACAGGGAGGUAGUGACAAGAAAUAACAAUACAGAACCUUACGGUUUUGUAAUUGGAAUGAGUUAAGUAUAAACCCCUUAACAAGUAUCAAUUGGAGGGCAAGUCUGGUGCCAGCAGCCGCGGUAAUUCCAGCUCCAAUAGCGUAUAUUAAAGUUGUUGCAGUUAAAAAGCUCGUAGUUAAUCUUCUGUUAAUUUUUAUAUAUAAUAUCUCGAUAUUUAUAUAAUAUUAACAUAAUUCAUAUUACUUUUUAGUAUAUGAAACUUUACUUUGAGAAAAUUAGAGUGCUUAAAGCAGGCUAUUGCCUUGAAUACUCCAGCAUGGAAUAAUAUUAAGGAUUUUUAUUCUUCUUAUUGGUUCUAGAAUAAAAAUGAUGAUUAAUAGGAACAGUUGGGGGCAUUUGUAUUUAACAGUCAGAGGUGAAAUUCUUAGAUUUGUUAAAGACAAACUACUGCGAAAGCAUUUGCCAAGGAUGUUUUCAUUAAUCAAGAACGAAAGUUAGGGGAUCGAAGACGAUCAGAUACCGUCGUAGUCUUAACCAUAAACUAUGCCAACUAGAGAUUGGAG
rnacentral:rRNA from 1 species